rnacentral:rRNA from 1 species
GAGUUUGAUCCUGGCUCAGGAUGAACGCUGGCGGCGUGCCUAACACAUGCAAGUCGAACGGAGUUACAGUGAAACCUAGUGAUCUGUAACUUAGUGGCGGACGGGUGAGUAACGCGUGGGUAACCUGCCUUGUACUAGGGGAUAACACCUGGAAACAGGUGCUAAUACCGCAUAAGCGCACAGAGCCGCAUGGCUCAGUGUGAAAAACUCCGGUGGUACAAGAUGGACCCGCGUCUGAUUAGCCAGUUGGGGGGGUAACGGCCCACCAAAGCGACGAUCAGUAGCCGGCCUGAGAGGGUGAACGGCCACAUUGGGACUGAGACACGGCCCAAACUCCUACGGGAGGCAGCAGUGGGGAAUAUUGCACAAUGGGGGAAACCCUGAUGCAGCAACGCCGCGUGAGUGAAGAAGUAAUUCGUUAUGUAAAGCUCUAUCAGCAGGGAAGAAAAUGACGGUACCUGAGUAAGCAGCCCCGGCUAACUACGUGCCAGCAGCCGCGGUAAUACGUAGGGGGCAAGCGUUAUCCGGAUUUACUGGGUGUAAAGGGAGCGUAGACGGUUGUGCAAGUCUGAAGUGAAAUGCCAGUGCUCAACACUGGAACUGCUUUGGAAACUGUGUAACUGGAGUGCAGGAGAGGUAAGUGGAAUUCCUAGUGUAGCGGUGAAAUGCGU